AUUAAAAGAAAACGAAAAAGGAAAAAGAAGUCGUCGCGUUCUCUUUUUCCUUGAUAAAUUUGAUUGGGUUCUAGGGUUCCUCCCUCUCUUUUACUGUCUAAUUAUUUAUACUUGGUAGUAGCUUAGAAAAAUAAUAGGGAGUCAAGAGGUUGGAGGUUCGUUUGUUAAACAGAGUGCUGGGGAUUUCAAAUGCCGGAGGAGGACUUAAUUGAACUCAAAUUUCGGUUGUAUGAUGGAUCAGAUAUUGGUCCUUUUCAAUACGCACCCACUUCCACCAUAGCUAUCCUCAAAGAGAGGAUUGUCGCCGACUGGCCCAAAGAUAAAAAAGUUGCACCUAAGGUGGCAAAUGAUGUAAAAUUGAUAUGUGCUGGUAAAAUUUUGGAAAACAGCAGGACUGUUGGUCAAUGCAAGACACCUUUUGGUGAGCUACCAAAUGGAAUAAUUACCAUGCAUGCUGUUGUACAACCAUCUUUAGCUAAAGCAAAGUCAGAAAAGAAGAUUGACGAGAACCAAAAUCAAAGCAUCUGUUCGUGCUCCAUAUUGUGAGAUUGCAAGUGAUUCAGUUUGAUCUUGUGGUAUCCUUGGGUUACCUGCUCUGUGAAGUUAAGUCUGGACUCUGGAGCAAUAAUUUGUAUGAUACCUCAUUAUUACAUGUUUGUUGAAAAGCAUUUGUAACUAUUGCAUGCUCGUAUAAUCACGUUUGUUGUAUAAAGUUUGUAUCUUUAUACUUGUAGUCACAGAUUUCUCAUAUAAAAAUUACAGAGAAGGCUGGAGAUAUGCAGAAGGAUAUUUAGCUGUAACUAUUUUUUUUAUAAUAUACUAAUCCGU
rnacentral:misc_RNA from 1 species